rnacentral:tRNA from 3 species
GGUGGGGUUCCCGAGCGNNCAAAGGGAGCNGACUGNAAAUCUGCCGUCAUCGACUUCGAAGGUUCGAAUCCUUCCCCCACCACCA